rnacentral:lncRNA from 1 species
AAAUUACAAGAAACCUUCUUGACUUCUAGAAGUGAAGUUUUUCAUCUUUAAAAGAUGUUCCAACUUCUUUAUUGAAAAUAUGAAUUACCAUUUUUAACACUUAACACACCACAGAAUAUUCAUGAAUGCAUGGUAUAACACACCACAUUAAUCAUGUUAAGUCCUAAUAAGCACAUAAACAUUUACAUCAACAAAUCUUAAUACAUAGAUAGCAUCAUAAGUCAAUCAACACCUAACAUGCAAAACAUAGUAUAGUAACAAAUCUCACGAUAUCAUAUUUCAGUUAUUCAUCAACCAUUUAGUUCAGAGAGUUGGAAUAUACCAAAAUCUCUUCUUAUCACAUAGUAAAAUGAAGAUUUCAUACAGAGAUUAAUACAAAUUAUUACACCACUAAAAAAUAAUACGCAUCACGCGAAAAGGAAGCAGUGAUUUAGUCGAUAUACCCUGCACAGAUUCUUCAUGUAUUGCCCUUGUGAAUAUAUCUCUAAAUUACAUAAAUAGAGAAAAUGGUUAAAUACAUUGUGCAAGUGAGAUACAGUGAAAAUGGCGGUUAAAUACAUCAAACGCACAAUCAAUUUCGGGAUCGAAUUUAAGAAGAACAUACAUACAUUCCUACACUAAUUAAAAAACACAACUAAACCAUAUGACUUUUUUUUUUUCUUUCGAAAAUCAAUACGCACAGAAUGCAGUUUAGCUCGAGAGAGUACUGAAGAUAGAAGGAUUAUUACCUAUGGUUGAAGAUAAUCGAGAAGCAAUCGUCGUCUCGCGUGCAGUUUUUUGGAUCUCAUUCAAAUCCCUGCCGUAAACCCUAACAGAAUUCGUGAAUAGCUCGAAAUUAUUUUCGCAGAGAAUUUUGUGUUUUGGAUUUUUGUUUUUCUAAUAAUAGUUUUCGUAGAGAUGAAUUUAG